rnacentral:rRNA from 4 species
UGCGUCGUAGUCCGGAUUGGAGUCUGCAACUCGACUCCAUGAAGUCGGAAUCGCUAGUAAUCGUAGAUCAGAAUGCUACGGUGAAUACGUUCCCGGGCCUUGUACACACCGCCCGUCACACCAUGGGAGUGGGUUGCAAAAGAAGUAGGUAGCUUAACCUUCGGGAGGGCGCUUACCACUUUGUGAUUCAUGACUGGGGUGAAGUCGUAACAAGGUAACCGUAGGGGAACCUGCGGUUGGAUCACCUCCUUA